rnacentral:rRNA from 1 species
UACGUAGGCAGCGAGCGUUGUUCGGAGUUACUGGGCGUAAAGCGUGCGUAGGCGGUUUUGUAAGUUUGGUGUGAAAUCUCCCGGCUCAACUGGGAGGGUGCGCCGAAAACUGCAAGGCUGGAGUAUGGGAGAGGUAGGCGGAAUUCCUGGUGUAGCGGUGAAAUGCGUAGAUAUCAGGAGGAACACCUGUGGUGUAGACGGCUUACUGGACCAUGACUGACGCUGAGGCGCGAAAGCUAGGGGAGCAAACGGG